rnacentral:rRNA from 1 species
UACGGAGGGUGCGAGCGUUGUCCGGAAUCACUGGGCGUAAAGGGCGCGUAGGUGGCUCACGCAAGCGUGCGGUGAAAGCCCGGGGCUCAACCCCGGGUCGGCCGUGCGGACUGCGGGGCUGGAGCACUGUAGGGGCAGAUGGAAUUCCGGGUGUAGCGGUGGAAUGCGUAGAGAUCCGGAAGAACAUCGGUGGCGAAGGCGGUCUGCUGGGCAGUUGCUGACACUGAGGCGCGACAGCGUGGGGAGCAAACAGG